GGGUUGUGAGGUUAAGCGACUAAGCGUACACGGUGGAUGCCCUGGCAGUCAGAGGCGAUGAAGGGCGUGCUAAUCUGCGAUAAGCGCCGGUAAGGUGAUAUGAACCGUUAUAACCGGCGAUACCCGAAUGGGGAAACCCAGUGUGAUUCGUCACACUAUCAUUAACUGAAUCCAUAGGUUAAUGAGGCGAACCGGGGGAACUGAAACAUCUAAGUACCCCGAGGAAAAGAAAUCAACCGAGAUUCCCCCAGUAGCGGCGAGCGAACGGGGAGGAGCCCAGAGCCUGAAUCAGCAUGUGUGUUAGUGGAAGCGUCUGGAAAGGUGCGCGAUACAGGGUGACAGCCCCGUACACAAAAGCGCAUGUGCUGUGAGCUCGAUGAGUAGGGCGGGACACGUGAUAUCCUGUCUGAAUAUGGGGGGACCAUCCUCCAAGGCUAAAUACUCCUGACUGACCGAUAGUGAACCAGUACCGUGAGGGAAAGGCGAAAAGAACCCCGGCGAGGGGAGUGAAAAAGAACCUGAAACCGUGUACGUACAAGCAGUGGGAGCACAGGUUUACCUGUGUGACUGCGUACCUUUUGUAUAAUGGGUCAGCGACUUAUAUUCUGUAGCAAGGUUAACCGUAUAGGGGAGCCGUAGGGAAACCGAGUCUUAACCGGGCGUUAAGUUGCAGGGUA
rnacentral:rRNA from 1 species